CCUACGGGCGGCAGCAGUGGGGAAUAUUGGGCAAUGGAGGAAACUCUGACCCAGCAACGCCGCGUGAAUGAUGACGGUCUUCGGAUUGUAAAGUUCUUUUCUAAGGGAAGAAGAAAGUGACGGUACCUUAGGAAUAAGCCUCGGCUAACUACGUGCCAGCAGCCGCGAUAAUACGGAGGAGGCAAGCGUUAUCCGGAAUGACUGGGCGUAAAGGGUGCGUAGGUGGUUUGACAAGUUGGUAGCGUAACUCCGGGGCUCAACCUCGGCACUACUACCAAAACUGUCGGACUUGAGUGCAGGAGGGGCAAAUGGAAUUCAUAGUGUAGCGGUGGAAUGCGUAGAGAUUAGGAGGAACACCAGUGGCGAAGGCGAUUUGCUGGACUGUAACUGACACUGAGGCACGAAAGCGUGGGGAGCAAACAGGAUUAGAUACCCUAGUAGUC
rnacentral:rRNA from 1 species